UAAAGGAAGAAAUAAAGGACUACUUGCCACAAAAAUGAUGCCUUAGAAAAUCUGUUUGGAAGGAGAAAGAUGCACCAACACCCACCCUUUUGCUAAGAAGCCACAAGUUCAGACAAAAGGAGCUUUCGAUGCUUGCUAUUCUUGCAAGUUAUCCAGCAUAAACCUGACUCUUAAUUCUGUAUCCUACUCAGUGGACCACAAGUCUCCGUACUUACCCUUGACCGACUGAGGCCUCUGGCUGCUAGGAAUCCCAUCACCGUGCAUGUAAGUGCUUCAUGAUCGCACAGGAGUUGCUGCCUGGGCUGAGACUGCACAGCCUGCUCUAGGAGCUGGGCCCCUGCAGCAGAAGUGAGCAUAACAUCACCAUAUGUGAACAUCACUGAAGAUGCAAGCAGCGUUGACCCAAGGAAACUGAAGGCAGGUGUACGGUGUCCUCAGGCCUGCUUCAGUAGUUUGACAGACACCUGGGGUAGGAUGUGAACCAGAUUUAACAGAAAACUACUUAACACUUUGUGAAGAAGAGCCUUCCGCUAGGGUUGAGAACUGGAUUAGAAAUGACUGAAUUUCUCAUGAAGAAGACAUCAGUCAUGAAGUUUUAUUCCUUUGAGUGCCCUCAAGAGACCAGGCAGAUCUGAUCGGCAAGGAGCGCUGCUGACUCAGGCUGCUGCGGGAAGGCGUCGAAGGCCAGCCAAGGAAAUCUCUGACCUUCACUUCGCCGCUGACCGUCACUUGGGUUUUCCUGCCUGGAAGAGGGGCGGUGGGCUGGGGUAGCUGGGGAGGAAACAGAGACCAGAACCAUUGACCUCAAUCUAAACACAAUACAGAAAAAGACAAUAAACUCCAGGAGGAAAAACACAGGAGUGAUUUACCUAGGAGGAAGUGAGAAUAUUAAAUUCUUUCAAGUAACUUCAGGAGGUGUAAUAGAGGAAAUCUAUUGAAAACACACAGAGAAGACAGCUGUCUCUAGCCAGUGAGUCCUGUGACACACAGAAGUGUUGGAUAUUUACUAUAUAACUCAUAUUUUACAAAUGAUUAAAUCUGUGAAUGCCGUGGGAUUAUUGCAAUUGUGCAUUCAUAUUGCUUUUCUGCAUCUGGAAAAGUAGAAAGGUUAUAAACUGUAAUAAAUUCUUCCUAAUUUAUCUGUUCAUCUGAAUAUGUGUUCAAUAUGGCAAAAUUGUAAGCCCGCUUGUCCAGUGUUGACAAAGAUUUUUAAUGUGGUUCACAGUGACCUGUGAUGAAGUUCCUCUCCUUGAAGGUCUGCUUUACCCAUUUUACCUAAUACUACUACUUCUUCUCCCUCUCCCUCUUCUCUCCUCUCCCUUCUUCCAUAUAUCCAAAACUAUGUUGUGUUUAAUACAGAGAACUGUAGCUAUAUGAAUUGCCAAAAACAUGGUAAGAUUUUGUUUUUUCCUUUUCUGCAGAGUUUGCACA